rnacentral:rRNA from 1 species
GAUGAACGCUGGCGGCGUGCCUAACACAUGCAAGUCGAACGGACAGAUGAGGAGCUUUUUCCUCUGACGGUGGCGGCGGACGGGUGGGUAACAAGUGGAUAACAUACUUCUAAUACUGGGAUAAUAACGGGAAAACGGAUCUGCUAACAGAUAAUAUAUUGAACGGCUGGGUUCAAUGGUUAUAGACGGUUUUGCUGUCUCUUUUAGAUGGUUCCGGGCCGCAUUAGCUAGUUGGUAAGGUAACGGCUUACCAAGGCGACGUUGCGUAGCCGACCUGAGAGAGUGAUCGGCCACACUGGAACUGAGACACGGUCCAGACUCCUACGGGAGGCAGCAGUGGGGAAUCUUCCGCAAUGGGCGAAAGCCUGACGGAGCAACGCCGCGUGAGUGAUGAAGGGCUUCGGAUCGUAAAACCCUGUUAUUAGGGAAGAAAAGAUGCGGAUGUAUCUAGGGACGUUGUGACGGUACCUAAUCAGAAAGCCCCGGCUAACUACGUG